UCUCCGUUGGCGAACCAGCGGAGGGAUCAUUACCGAGUUUACAACUCCCAAACCCAAUGUGAACGUUACCAAACUGUUGCCUCGGCGGGGUCAUGCCCCGGGUGCGUCGCAGCCCCGGAACCAGGCGCCCGCCGGAGGAACCAACCAAACUCUUUCUGUAGUCCCCUCGCGGACGUUAUUUCUUACAGCUCUGAGCAAAAAUUCAAAAUGAAUCAAAACUUUCAACAACGGAUCUCUUGGUUCUG
rnacentral:misc_RNA from 1 species